GUACACACCGCCCGUCACACCAUGGGAGUUGGCUUUACCCGAAGGUGCUGCGCUAACCGCAAGGAGGCAGGCAACCACGGUAGGGUCAGCGACUGGGGUGAAGUCGUAACAAGGUAGCCGUAGGUGAACCUGCAGAAGGAUCA
rnacentral:rRNA from 1 species